rnacentral:rRNA from 1 species
UGGGGAAUAUUGGACAAUGGGCGAAAGCCUGAUCCAGCCAUGCCGCGUGUGUGAAGAAGGCCUUUUGGUUGUAAAGCACCUUAAGUGGGGAGGAAAAGCUUAUGGUUAAUACCCAUAAGCCCUGACGUUACCCACAGAAUAAGCACCGGCUAACUCUGUGCCAGCAGCCGCGGUAAUACAGAGGGUGCAAGCGUUAAUCGGAAUUACUGGGCGUAAAGCGCGCGUAGGUGGUUAUUUAAGUCAGAUGUGAAAGCCCCGGGCUUAACCUGGGAACUGCAUCUGAUACUGGAUAACUAGAGUAGGUGAGAGGGGAGUAGAAUUCCAGGUGUAGCGGUGAAAUGCGUAGAGAUCUGGAGGAAUACCGAUGGCGAAGGCAGCUCCCUGGCAUCAUACUGACACUGAGGUGCGGAAGCGUGGGUAGCAAACAGGAUUAGAUACCCUGGUAGUCCACGCCGUAACGAUGUCUACCAGUCGUUGGGUCUUUUAAAGACUUAGUGACGCAGUUAACGCAAUAAGUAGACCGCCUGGGGAGUACGGCCGCAAGGUUA